rnacentral:rRNA from 1 species
UACGAAGGGGGCUAGCGUUGUUCGGAAUCAUUGGGCGUAAAGGGUGCGUAGGUGGCGCUGUAAGUCGGGUGUGAAAUUUCGGAGCUUAACUCCGAAACUGCAUUCGAUACUGCGGUGCUUGAGGACUGGAGAGGAGACUGGAAUUUAUGGUGUAGCAGUGAAAUGCGUAGAGAUCAUAAGGAAGACCAGUGGCGAAGGCGGGUCUCUGGACAGUUCCUGACACUGAGGCACGAAGGCCAGGGGAGCAAACGGG